CAAACACACCAGCAACCCCGUUCCUUUCACCCACAAAUUACCGCUCCGCAGUACCCUGGCCUCUCAGUCCACUCAAACUACAUCAUGAAUCGCCGCUGCAUUUAUGAAUGAGGCGCCACAAUCACCGCCUCCGGUUUGAGCCCCGCCCCCAAAGUCGGCUCCGCCCCCUUAUCCGAGGGCUCCUGGGAAAUGUAGUCUCCGCCAGCUGCCUCUGUACUUCCGUGAGGGCACUGGGAGACCCAGGCAAACUACCAUACCCAGCGGGGAUCGCAGGGGCGGACGUUACCUCAGGAAUUCACUGCUGGAAGUUUUCCUCCUGGGUCGCCGGCUAGUGGGCGGGCGGCUGAGCGGGAGGGAAGAACCGUUCCUAGUGAACUUCCGUGACCGCCUCCCCCGCCCCCGCCCUCCCCGCCUUGAAAACUAAGGAAGGAGCCUUUGCGAGAAGUCUCCGUGUUCAGAGAAAAAUGAGGAAACCAAAGCCCAAGACUUCCAACAUCACACAACAAUUUAAGAUGCCGUUUGAGGAUGUAAAUGCUCUUCUUCGUUUAUAAUGGCCCUUUGGCUUGAAAAAACAUGCCUAAAAGUUUCAUCAUUUCUCUUAAAAUGUUUUAUCUUUUCAGAUAGUCACAAUAUCCUCAAAUUUUGUGCCGUAUUUCAUUACUGUAUUUUUAUUCUAAUGUAGUAUGUACUACCAUACUGCUUGUUGAUUGAAUAAAUGGGUCUUUUGCCACA